AAGAGACAGGGUCUCGCUAUGUUGCCCAGGCUGGAGUGCAGUGGCUAUUCACAGGCGCGAUCCCACUACUGAUCAGCACGGGAGUUUUGACCUGCUCCGUUUCCGACCUGGGCCGGUUCACCCCUCCUUAGGCAACCUGGUGGUCCCCCGCUCCCGGGAGGUCACCAUAUUGAUGCCGAACUUAGUGCGGACACCCGAUCGGCAUAGCGCACUACAGCCCAGAACUCCUGGACUCAAGCGAUCCUCCAGCCUCAGCCUCCCUAGUAGCUGGGACUACAGGCACGCGCCACCGCGCCCGG
rnacentral:SRP_RNA from 1 species